UACGGAGGAUGCGAGCGUUAUCCGGAUUUAUUGGGUUUAAAGGGUGCGCAGGCGGUUUGUCAAGCAAGCGGUAAAAUCGCGGGGCUCAACCCCGCCGAGCCGUUUGAACUGGCGAACUUGUGUAUAUUCGAGGUAAGCGGAAUUCGUGGUGUAGCGGUGAAAUGCAUAGAUAUCACGAAGAACUCCGAUUGCGAAGGCAGCUUACCAGGAUGUUACUGACGCUCAGGCACGAAAGCGUGGGUAUCGAACAGG
rnacentral:rRNA from 1 species